CUCUAGCGAGAAUAAAACCCAUUGUGCCCUAGUUACGUCUUAGUGCCUGCAUGUCGGUAAAUAUUAGAGUGCACGUAGUUGUCUUCGGCACGCUAUUUAAGGAAAACAUUAUUAGACGGGACCACUCAACCUUAAAGAAUCUUCUCUGGAUUACUGUGAAUUCUUCAGAGGAAACCUAUCAUACAUUAACAAGCACAAAAGGCCCAAAUGUGCGAACUCUACUUUUUGUGAAAAGUUGUGUUGUUUUGCAAAAACAAGACUGUAUUUUUUUCUGUUUGAGCAAAUGGUUAUGUCGUUCGUAAAGUCAGGGGCUAUGGAGAGGAGGACACGGCAGGAUUUAAAUAGAGUGAGAGGAAUGGUAGAGCACUCCAGAGUUCUAGGAAAGGGGAUAAACUGCUUAUUCUAUUAGAUUACAUGAAAAUGUAGUCAGAAGAAAUUAGAGGUAGAACCCGAGUGUGCCCAGAAUUAACAGGAAUUUGCAAAAGCCUUAAUAUAUAGUAAUUUCUGUUGCAGUAGAAAAACUGUCCAGUCACUGAUAUGCCAAGCUAUGUUAGCCAGGGAGAAAAGUUUACCCGUCUGCUUGAAUGUGUAUGCCAAUUACAUUUAUUCACUUUCCUGCUAGAGAAACUUUCAGAUUCGAAUUGUUUAUUUGUGAGGUUGUUAUCACGAAAAUUAAUCAUUUCCCAAACUAUUAGAGGGCCUUGGAAUGUAUUCCUCUCAUUUACUCUACCUGUCCCAUUCAAAGGAGAGAAGCUGAAGAUGUAAGACAAAAAGCAGUUGAAGAAUUCAAAGCUGUGGAUAAUCAGGACCCAGAAUAGUGCCUGGCACACUGAACCUAUGAGGUAGAUCCUGUUUUUACUCUCAUUUAUCCCCAUCUAACAUAUGAGGAUCCUGAAGCUCAGAGAAGGUUUGGCAGUGGAUUGAAUGGCAUCAAGAAACCUUGCCUGUAACUUAAAGGAGUGUAGCAUGAGCUGAACAGGAAGCCUACCUUCCACUGGACAGGUUGGUCUUUCUUUCCAUUCUCUUAGUAAGAGUUAUUUCAAAAUUUAAGGCUAGUAAUUAGUAAGACGUGUGUGUGUGUGUGUGUGUGUGUGUGUGUGUGUGUGUGUGUGUCUUGUAGGAAAAUUCAACACUUCACUUUUUUACCUGUCCCAAACAGAUGCUACACAUGGCAACUGAAAUAUUCCUACAAACUGUGCAGGACAGAGACUUCCCUGAAUUUAUCGUCACCUACCUGAAACUAGACCAUGCUUGUCUGGCCUCUUACAAUCAUAGCCUUCGUCUCACAGCCCUAACAGCAGCACACCGUGGAGUACAAACACCCCUGAAAGACAAAGGCCUCAUAAAACCCACAGAAAAGCUAUUCACUAAUACUGGGACUACUUUUAGCCAUGCUAGUAGAGAUCACGCUUUAUUUUUGUGCAUCGUAAAUACAGAAAAAUGUUGAAAACGUAGGACUCAACUAUCUAAUUAAAGCUGAGUAAACUAACCUGGUCAGAUCUUAAUUUUUAAAUGAGAAAUGACAAGAGUAGUAAAUAUAAAGAAAAACAAAAAUAACUUUACUUUCCUAUGUUAAUACAGGUCAAGGGACCCUUUCUUCUGAAAAGGGUUGUUAACACCAGUUCUCAGCAAUAAACAUAAGGCACUUGUUUAGAAUACAACAUCACUGCAUUUUUUUCCCACUUGUUUUUCUAACCCUGUUUCCCCCCACAGUAUCAUUUGGAAUUAAUAGAGUGAAUGAGGCAAAUGUGGGAUGAUCCAGUCGAUACUACUCAGAGCAAGACAGUACAGUACAAUGUUUCGGGGGUGCUGUCUGGACAUAAAAUGAACCCUGUCAAGGUCCUCUGACACCAGACAAUGUAUCCACUAUCAAGUAAACCUGAAAGAAAAUAAAAUAUUUAUUCAAUAGUUCCAGUAAAAUUGGGUCGGAGUACAAUAUACAUGUUAGGAAUUUUAGCUCCUCACGGGUGGAAUCUGCAUCAAGAGUUCUGAGUAUUUACGAAUUUUCAUUCUAAGACAGUCUACAUCAGUUGAACAUUGUCAAGACAAAUAUAUGAACUUCAUUUCAAUAUACAGUAGAGUUGAAACAGAAUUCACACAUAAACACCCCCUAUCGUAUGGCUGGUGCCUCCUCCCAACACCUCAGUAGUGGCAGAGGUAGCACUAGUGUUCUUUCCCAACAAUGAGAACUUCGGUUGCCACUCAUAGGAGAAGUUGAAAAAAAGUUUGUGGUGGUGGUGGGGUUUUUUUUGUUUGUUGUUUGCCAUCUGUGAAGAUGUUCCUGAGACAGGGCCAGUUAAUAAAACGGAACAAAGCACUGGAGUUCGGCUUGUACUUCUCUUUACAUCACUAAAUCGUUAGACCGGGACGCAGAAUGCAGGCCACGUACUAUGAAAGGUUGAGUUUAGCACAACUGUUCAAUCAGUAGAAGGAUCAGGUCUCCUGAAAAUUCCCUUUAGAAUAUAUGCCCUAGAAACUAAAAGUACCACAAAGAGAUCAAUCAUAUAUACAAUUGAUUCAUUUUACUUAAUCUUAUUUGCUCAGAUCUUGCAAACGCAACGAGGAUAUUGAGCCUGAGGCCAGUUCUCAGUAUACAGGUUUAUCAUCGUAAGGCUCAGUCUCUCCAUCAAAAUCGCAGUUCUCAGUUUCCUUUCAAAUUAGGAAAUUAGGAAUUACAUUCAUAGUACCUGCCACCAUCCUCGCCCUCAAGGAAAGGUUCAUGCAGGAGCAGCACUACACCUGCAUUACGGAGUCCCCUGACACCGGCACUCGGCCCGCAGCGAACGCAACCAUCUGCGCUCAUUUUACAGCACGUUACAUUGCCUCUGGCUUGCACCUCUGUUUCCACCUGUGUAUUUUCACAGAAGCCCAACACAGAUUAGUUGAAAUAUUCACACAACUGUUUUUCAAAACAAUUUAUUGCAUCAUAUUUGGUACCUUAUGUUUGACAACAAAAAGGAAAUUACAUCUGUAACUGCAGGAAAAAGAAGCUGGUCUGUUAUUGAAAAAAAAAAAAUCUUGGGCCCUUUAAAAAUUACAAAGUCUUGGGCUUGCCUGAAACAACUGAGCAAGAAAUAUAUUCUUAGAAAUGUAGGGCUUCAAGUAUUACAAACCUGUGACACUGUGGAAAAAUUCCAGAGGUAUCUAAACUGCAGCACUUUUUUUCUGCAUAUCGUGAACAAGGCCUGCUGAGGUUUUUAACUAUUAGUCUCUUGAUCAGUCAUAGAAUGGUAGUCAGGAGUUCUGCUCUUUAACUUCAAGCCAUGGUAGAUUUUCUUUUUUCACUCUUGGGUGAAAAAAUUCAUGCGUGCUAAUUAGUUGGUGCCACAUCACAGUGCAUUUGGUUCUUGCAUUACAGUUUUAACAAGUUUGGCCAAAACAAUGCUGAAAGGUUUGCAUUGCUAUUUUAGUUCUUCAAGUUUUAGUUAAAAUUGAGAUUGUUCCAACUGGUUCCUUCAGUUAAAAACUGUGGUACAAGAACACCAAACUGAUCAUGUACAGUGAAUUUUGGAAACACAACAAGCAUAUUGAACACCCUCUAGGUUUCUUAGAAAUUCUGCUUGGUAU